rnacentral:rRNA from 1 species
GAAUGCUGACAUAAGUAACGAUAAAGCGGGUGAAAAGCCCGCUCGCCGGAAGACCAAGGGUUCCUGUCCAACGUUAAUCGGGGCAGGGUGAGUCGACCCCUAAGGCGAGGCCGAAAGGCGUAGUCGAUGGGAAACAGGUUAAUAUUCCUGUACUUGGUGUUACUGCGAAGGGGGGACGGAGAAGGCUAUGUUGGCCGGGCGACGGUUGUCCCGGUUUAAGCGUGUAGGCUGGUUUUCCAGGCAAAUCCGGAAAAUCAAGGCUGAGGCGUGAUGACGAGGCACUACGGUGCUGAAGCGACAAAUGCCCUGCUUCCAGGAAAAGCCUCUAAGCAUCAGGUAACAUCAAAUCGUACCCCAAACCGACACAGGUGGUCAGGUAGAGAAUACCAAGGCGCUUGAGAGAACUCGGGUGAAGGAACUAGGCAAAAUGGUGCCGUAACUUCGGGAGAAGGCACGCUGAUAUGUAGGUGAAGCGACUUGCUCGUGGAGCUGAAAUCAGUCGAAGAUACCAGCUGGCUGCAACUGUUUAUUAAAAACACAGCACUGUGCAAACACGAAAGUGGACGUAUACGGUGUGACGCCUGCCCGGUGCCGGAAGGUUAAUUGAUGGGGUUAGCGGUAACGCGAAGCUCUUGAUCGAAGCCCCGGUAAACGGCGGCCGUAACUAUAACGGUCCUAAGGUAGCGAAAUUCCUUGUCGGGUAAGUUCCGACCUGCACGAAUGGCGUAAUGAUGGCCAGGCUGUCUCCACCCGAGACUCAGUGAAAUUGAACUCGCUGUGAAGAUGCAGUGUACCCGCGGCAAGACGGAAAGACCCCGUGAACCUUUACUAUAGCUUGACACUGAACAUUGAGCCUUGAUGUGUAGGAUAGGUGGGAGGCUUUGAAGUGUGGACGCCAGUCUGCAUGGAGCCGACCUUGAAAUACCACCCUUUAAUGUUUGAUGUUCUAACGUGGGCCCCUUACCGGGGUUGCGGACAGUGUCUGGUGGGUAGUUUGACUGGGGCGGUCUCCUCCUAAAGAGUAACGGAGGAGCACGAAGGUUGGCUAAUCCUGGUCGGACAUCAGGAGGUUAGUGCAAUGGCAUAAGCCAGCUUGACUGCGAGCGUGACGGCGCGAGCAGGUGCGAAAGCAGGUCAUAGUGAUCCGGUGGUUCUGAAUGGAAGGGCCAUCGCUCAACGGAUAAAAGGUACUCCGGGGAUAACAGGCUGAUACCGCCCAAGAGUUCAUAUCGACGGCGGUGUUUGGCACCUCGAUGUCGGCUCAUCACAUCCUGGGGCUGAAGUAGGUCCCAAGGGUAUGGCUGUUCGCCAUUUAAAGUGGUACGCGAGCUGGGUUUAGAACGUCGUGAGACAGUUCGGUCCCUAUCUGCCGUGGGCGCUGGAGAACUGAGGGGGGCUGCUCCUAGUACGAGAGGACCGGAGUGGACGCAUCACUGGUGUUCGGG